AGCAGCCGCGGUAAUUCCAGCUCCAAUAGCGUAUAUUAAAGUUGUUGCAGUUAAAAGCUCGUAGUUGAAUUUCGGGGUUAGCAGGUCGGUCGUGCCAUCGGUAUGAACUGGUCUCGCUGAUCCCACCCUCUUGACGAACUGUGAUGCCAUUAAUUUGGUGUCGCAGGGAAUCAGGACUGUUACUUUGAAAAAUUAGAGUGUUUAAAGCAGGCUCACGCUUGAAUACAUUAGCAUGGAAUAAUGAAAUAGGACGUUUGAUCCUAUUUUGUUGGCUUCUAGGAUUGACGUAAUGAUUAAUAGGGAUAGUUGGGGGCAUUAGUAUUCAAUUGUCAGAGGUGAAAUUCUUGGAUUUAUUGAAGACUAACUACUGCGAAAGCAUUUGCCAAGGAUGUUUUCAUUAAUCAAGAACGAAAGUUAGGGGAUCGAAGACGAUCAGAUACC
rnacentral:misc_RNA from 1 species